rnacentral:rRNA from 1 species
AAUGAACGCUGGCGGCGUGCUUAACACAUGCAAGUCGAACGAGAAAGCCUUGGCUUGCCAGGGCGAGUAAAGUGGCGCACGGGUGAGUAACGCGUGGGUAAUCUACCCUUGAAUCGGGGAUAACCCUUCGAAAGGGGGGCUAAGACCGGAUGAUAUCGGAUUUACUUAGGUGGAUUCGAUCAAAUAUGGCCUCUACAUGUAAGCUAUAGUUUGGGGAUGAGCCCGCGUACCAUUAGCUAGUUGGUAGGGUAACGGCCUACCAAGGCAACGAUGGUUAGCUGGUCUGAGAGGAUGAUCAGCCACACUGGAACUGACACACGGUCCAGACUCCUACGGGUGGCAG